UACGGAAGGCAGCAGUGGGGAAUAUUGCACAAUGGGCGCAAGCCUGAUGCAGCCAUGCCGCGUGUAUGAAGAAGGCCUUCGGGUUGUAAAGUACUUUCAGCGGGGAGGAAGGCGAUGCGGUUAAUAACCGCGUCGAUUGACGUUACCCGCAGAAGAAGCACCGGCUAACUCCGUGCCAGCAGCCGCGGUAAUACGGAGGGUGCAAGCGUUAAUCGGAAUUACUGGGCGUAAAGCGCACGCAGGCGGUCUGUUAAGUCAGAUGUGAAAUCCCCCGGGCUUAACCUGGGAACUGCAUUUUGAAACUGGCAGGCUUGAGUCUUGUAGAGGGGGUAGAAUUCCAGGUGUAGCGGUGAAAUGCGUAGAGAUCUGGAGGAAUACCGGUGGCGAAGGCGGCCCCUGGACAAAGACUGACGCUCAGGGUGCGAAAGCGUGGGGAGCAAACAGGAUUAGAUACC
rnacentral:rRNA from 1 species